rnacentral:rRNA from 1 species
GAUGAACGCUGGCGGCGUGCUUAACACAUGCAAGUCGAACGAAGCAUUUAAAACAGAUUAUUUCGGUAUGAAGUUUUUUAUGACUGAGUGGCGGACGGGUGAGUAACGCGUGGGUAACCUGCCUUGUACUGGGGGAUAGCAGCUGGAAACGGCUGGUAAUACCGCAUAAGCGCACGGUGCUGCAUGGCACAGUGUGAAAAACUCCGGUGGUAUAAGAUGGACCCGCGUCUGAUUAGCUAGUUGGUGAGAUAACAGCCCACCAAGGCGACGAUCAGUAGCCGACCUGAGAGGGUGACCGGCCACAUUGGGACUGAGACACGGCCCAGACUCCUACGGGAGGCAGCAGUGGGGAAUAUUGCACAAUGGAGGAAACUCUGAUGCAGCGACGCCGCGUGAGUGAAGAAGUAAUUCGUUAUGUAAAGCUCUAUCAGCAGGGAAGAUAGUGACGGUACCUGACUAAGAAGCUCCGGCUAAAUACGCGCCAGCCGCCGCGGUAAGAC